rnacentral:lncRNA from 1 species
CCAGUAUUUGUUCUCCUCUUCCCUUGUGAUGAUAGAGCCAUGAUUUUUGACUGGACAUUUAGCUGUGCAGGAUGGAGACAAUUUCUCAACCUGCCAAGCUGCUGUAAUUUCUGAUCAAGGAGAUACCAACGGAAAUCACCCAUAUUAUUUUGAAGCAAGUAGAAGCUCUACAUUUUGUGAGAAGUCUCCGAAAUACUGAGGGAAAUGUCUGUCCCAAACACCUUUGAUAAAAUUCUUUGAUGUGACGUAGACCAUUAUUCUAUGACAUAAAGUAUAUAAAACUGUUAAUUUAUCCUGGAUUUUGAAGUGACGAGUUAUAAUAAGGACAAAAGAAGUCAGACACUGCCUUUACAUCCAUUGAAACAUCCACCUUUGCUAUAAAACUGGUAUUAAGAAAGUAAGUUAAGAGUAAACAUAAAAAUGAAAAUAUAUUAAGUAUUUCACUAAUGAAAUUUUUUUUAUCAGGGGCAUAAUUGAUAUACCUCUGAUCAAAACUGUUGAUUGACAUAUCCAAAUGUCUGGUAUUUCAG